GCAGGGAGUAGAGUAGACAGUGCUGUAAAUCUGCGGGUUAACUUCUCUCUCCUAUUUCUCUCAGCUAAAUUACGGCCUAUUGAUGAAUUGAGUAGUGUACAAUUUGUGUUCCCAAAUGGGGAAGCUCUGAGCUGCUUCAAAGGCCUACUCUCCUCCUCCUCACAAACCUCAUCUACUCCCCAACUCCAAUAUUGCUGCAGCUGAAUUAACACAAUUAACUUUAUAUAUAUAAAUUCACGAGUUGUUUUCAUCGGAUAUAUUUAAUGUGUGUGUGUGUGUGAGAGAGAGAGAGAGAGAGUAGUGGACGCAGAAAUUAAGUAGUAUUACCAAAUCAGCUGAGCUAUUGAAGCCUGCUGAGAUCUCCAUUAACCAAGAAUUAAUAGAUAUAUGAAAUUACCUGCAUCUGCAUGCAUGGAUUCAGAAUAUAUAUAUGAGAUUAUUGUGCAGCGUGUGUGUGUAUAUAUAUUAAUUAAUAUAAAUAUAUCAUAUACGUAUACCUAGCUAAUUAAUAACCCAACAUGCAUGUAUGUAUCUGAGAAUGAAGAACAACGCUAGCAGUAUACGUUUUUGUGUCACGGAAUU
rnacentral:lncRNA from 1 species